UGUCGGUGCACCGUGUGGCCUUGGAGCGGAUGACUUCGGCUGGGUGUGGUGAGCUUGAGGGUUCAGUGUUUAGCUUUUUCUGCCUAGAAUUGGCACAAGGUUUAGUUUUGGAUUGCGGUGAAGUUGUUUCAGCAUUAGCUUUCUUUCUCAGUGUAGUGUUCCAAUAGUUCUUGAUUUCAUUGUCUGUUCGCCCAGGUAGCCUUCCAGCUAUUAGAGACCAUCUGCAUACCAAACCAAAUAGUUAAAAAAAAAAGUACCUACAACGAAAUUAAAGCACAAGGAAACAACCCGUGGUUUAACAGAAAAUAAUAUGUGUAAAAAAGAAAAACACAAGAAGAGACAGAGGGGGAACCUG
rnacentral:lncRNA from 1 species